UACGGGGGGGAGCAAGCGUUGUUCGGAUUUACUGGGCGUAAAGGGCGCGUAGGCGGUCGUGACAAGUCACUUGUGAAAUCUCCGGGCUUAACUCGGAAAGGUCAAGUGAUACUGUCGGACUAGAGUACAGAAGGGGGCAACUGGAAUUCUCGGUGUAGCGGUGAAAUGCGUAGAUAUCGAGAGGAACACCUGCGGCGAAGGCGGGUUGCUGGGCUGAUACUGACGCUGAGGCGCGAAAGCUAGGGGAGCGAACAGG
rnacentral:rRNA from 1 species